AACCGUUUUGUCAGAAAAAAUACACUGGUUAUAUAGCAGUUUGACAAACACCAAUUUUGAUCAUUGAGAAGCUUAAUAUUCCCUUUACAACACAACGUAAUUAAAACGUUAAGCUGACUUUACAGAGUUAUCUCCCUGUAGUGUUAGGUACCACCUUAAAGGGCCUUUUUCAACAAGAAGCGGGUCAAGAUACAUUUUCAUCAGUUUGUAUAAGGGUUUGGAGUGGGAUUUACAUAAUAAUGGACAAACCGUGCAGAAUAAAGGAUAAAAUAUAAAAUAUAAAGAAUUUAGAAAAAUAGGGGGAAAAAGAAU
rnacentral:lncRNA from 1 species